rnacentral:rRNA from 1 species
AUUGAACGCUGGCGGCAGGCCUAACACAUGCAAGUCGAACGCGUGGCGGACGGGUGAGUAAUGUCUGGGAAACUGCCCGCUGGAGGGGGAUAACUACUGGAACCGGUAGCUAAUACCGCAUACCAUCGGAUGUGCCCAGAUGGGAUUAGCUAGUAGGUGGGGUAACGGCUCACCUAGGCGACGAUCCCUCGCUGGUCUGAGAGGAUGACAAGCCACACUGGAACUGGGACACGGUCCAGACUCCUACGGGAGGCAGCAGGGGGGAAUAUUGCACAAUGGGCGCAAGCCUGAUGCAGCCAUGCCGCGUGUAUGAAGAAGGCCUUCGGGUUGUAAAGUACUUUCAGCGGGGAGGCGUUACUCGCAGAAGAAGCACCGGCUAACUCCGUGCCAGCAGCCGCGGUAAUUC